UCCUCAGUAGCUCAGUGGUAGAGCGAUCGGCCGUUAAUUGACUGGUCGUAGGUUUGAAUCCUACUUGGGGAG